UACGGAGGGGGCAAGCGUUGUUCGGAAUUACUGGGCGUAAAGGGCUCGUAGGCGGCCAGCUAAGUCAGACGUGAAAUCCCUCAGCUUAACUGGGGAACUGCGUCUGAUACUGGAUGGCUUGGAUUCGGGAGAGGAAUGCGGAAUUCCAGGUGUAGCGGUGAAAUGCGUAGAUAUCUGGAGGAACACCGGUGGCGAAGGCGGCAUUCUGGACCGACACUGACGCUGAGGGGCGAAAGCGAGGGGAGCAAACGGG
rnacentral:rRNA from 1 species